UACGUAGGGGGCAAGCGUUGUCCGGAUUUAUUGGGCGUAAAGAGCUUGUAGGCGGUUUGUCGCGUCUGCCGUGAAAAUCCGGGGCUCAACCCCGGACUUGCGGUGGGUACGGGCAGACUAGAGUGUGGUAGGGGAGACUGGAAUUCCUGGUGUAGCGGUGAAAUGCGCAGAUAUCAGGAGGAACACCGAUGGCGAAGGCGGUUCUCUGGGACGGUACUGACGCUGAGACGCGAAAGCGUGGGGAGCGAACAGG
rnacentral:rRNA from 1 species